rnacentral:miRNA from 1 species
GUUAUAGAACGUAAGAGUGGCCUGGGGGUAAAGUAGCGAGUUGGUUGGUUAGAAGAAAGAAUCAUAAGAGCUAGGCAGUGAGGGUUUACAUGGACCCACGUCUCUCACGGGAAAUUGUAGAAAUAGCCAGAGAUAGCCAGGUGGAAGGGUGUGAUUGUCUCCUGUGGAUGUGGGGACGCCUUGCGUUCCCUUUUGGCGGAGAGGGAGGGUUGAGGUGGCCAACCAACUCGCUACUUUACCCCCAGGCCACUCUUACGUUCUAUAAC